AGCUUGCUACUUUGCUGACGAGCGGCGGACGGGUGAGUAAUGCUUGGGAACAUGCCUUGAGGUGGGGGACAACAGUUGGAAACGACUGCUAAUACCGCAUAAUGUCUACGGACCAAAGGGGGCUUCGGCUCUCGCCUUUAGAUUGGCCCAAGUGGGAUUAGCUAGUUGGUGAGGUAAUGGCUCACCAAGGCGACGAUCCCUAGCUGGUUUGAGAGGAUGAUCAGCCACACUGGGACUGAGACACGGCCCAGACUCCUACGGGAGGCAGCAGUGGGGAAUAUUGCACAAUGGGCGCAAGCCUGAUGCAGCCAUGCCGCGUGUGUGAAGAAGGCCUUCGGGUUGUAAAGCACUUUCAGUCAGGAGGAAAGGUUAGUAGUUAAUACCUGCUAGCUGUGACGUUACUGACAGAAGAAGCACCGGCUAACUCCGUGCCAGCAGCCGCGGUAAUACGGAGGGUGCGAGCGUUAAUCGGAAUUACUGGGCGUAAAGCGUACGCAGGCGGUUUGUUAAGCGAGAUGUGAAAGCCCCGGGCUCAACCUGGGAACUGCAUUUCGAACUGGCAAACUAGAGUGUGAUAGAGGGUGGUAGAAUUUCAGGUGUAGCGGUGAAAUGCGUAGAGAUCUGAAGGAAUACCGAUGGCGAAGGCAGCC
rnacentral:rRNA from 1 species